rnacentral:lncRNA from 1 species
UCAUACUUGGCCAUAGCAGUGUCGUUAGUAGUGAGAUCUGGGUGGUCCGCUCUGCAUGAUGGAGGAUCAUGCUUUACCUUAGCAUGAGCGAUUUUUUUUUGGAAAGAAAGAAAAACCGAAAAAAGAAACAUUGCCAUUUUUUUUUGUAAAAGUAAAAAAAAAUUUUGAAAGAAAGAGAACACAAAAUUGUUUGCAAAAGCCGUCCUUUAUUGAUGAUAAAAAUAAUUGCGAAAUGUAACUAAAUGGAUG